AGAGUUUGAUCCUGGCUCAGGAUGAACGCUAGCGACAGGCUUAACACAUGCAAGUCGAGGGGCAGCGAGGGAGUGGCAACACUUCUGUCGGCGACCGGCGCACGGGUGAGUAACGCGUAUGCAACCUGCCCUUCACAGGGGGAUAACCGGGAGAAAUUCCGACUAAUACCGCAUACGUCCUCCGGGGGCAUCCCCGGGGGAUGAAAGAAUUAUCGGUGAAGGAUGGGCAUGCGUGAUAUUAGGUAGUUGGCGGGGCAACGGCCCACCAAGCCCACGAUAUCUAGGGGUUCUGAGAGGAAGGUCCCCCACAUUGGUACUGAGACACGGACCAAACUCCUACGGGAGGCAGCAGUGAGGAAUAUUGGUCAAUGGACGAGAGUCUGAACCAGCCAAGUCGCGUGAAGGAAGACGGAUCUAUGGUUUGUAAACUUCUUUAGUGCGGGAACAAAGCGGCGUCGUGACGCCGGAUGAGUGUACCGCAAGAAUAAGCAUCGGCUAACUCCGUGCCAGCAGCCGCGGUAAUACGGAGGAUGCGAGCGUUAUCCGGAUUUAUUGGGUUUAAAGGGAGCGCAGGCUGCGAGGCAAGUCAGCGGUCAAAUGUCGGGGCUCAACCCCGGCCUGCCGUUGAAACUGUCCUGCUAGAGUUCGAGUGAGGUAUGCGGAAUGCGUUGUGUAGCGGUGAAAUGCAUAGAUAUGACGCAGAACUCCGAUUGCGAAGGCAGCAUACCAACUUGCGACUGACGCUGAGGCUCGAAAGCGUGGGUAUCGAACAGGAUUAGAUACCCUGGUAGUCCACGCAGUAAACGAUGAAUACUAACUGUUCGGAGGGCGACCUCUGAG
rnacentral:rRNA from 1 species